rnacentral:rRNA from 1 species
GACGAACGCUGGCGGCGCGCUUAAAACAUGCAAGUCGAACGAGAAGCUCGGAGCUUGCUCCGGGUGGAAAGUGGCGAACGGGUGAGGAGCACGUGAGGAACCUGCCCCGAAGACCGGGACAACACCGGGAAACCGGUGCUAAUACCGGAUGCCCUCACCGGACCGCAUGAUCCGGUGAGGAAAUGGAUUCCGCUUCGGGAUGGCCUCGCGGACUAUCAGCUUGUUGGUGAGGAAUGGCUCACCAAGGCUACGACGGUUAGCUGGUCUGAGAGGAUGUCCAGCCACACUGGGACUGAGACACGGCCCAGACUCCUACGGGAGGCAGCAGUUAGGAAUCUUGCGCAAUGAGCGAAAGCUUGACGCAGCGACGCCGCGUGCGGGAUGAAGGCCC